rnacentral:lncRNA from 1 species
GGAAGUAAAUUAGAGUUUAAAAAUAUAUAAAUGUAUGCCAGUAUGUAUUAAAUAGUAUUUAAUAAUAUUUAAUAAGUAAUAAAUCUGAGCACAAAAUUAUAUUAAGUAUUAAAUUUUUUUUAUAACUCUAGUUAUUAACCCCUGAUAGAUCUUAUGGUUUUGCUGGGGCCAGGGCCGGGUUCGCAGGGGCCGGACCGGGACCCCUGCUAAAAGGGAGUCCCUUUGAGAGAUGUUAUAUGAAAUAAACACUUAGGAUAGAAUCAAUUGUUAAGGAUCAUUUGUUUUUAGAAUUUAGAAAAGAAACUGGAAAACAUAAAAAAGAAGUUAUAAAUUUCUUUUUUAUGUUUUUUAUGUUAAAAAUCAUGUGAUUCUUUUAAAAUACCGGAGAACCAAUUUGAUUUCUCCUAAAUUCAAUUUCCACCUAAGUUUGUAUCAUGAGGGCGUCCUAAGUCAAUAAAGAAAAAAAAUGCUGUUGGUGUGCGUAAAGUUCAGAAGAUCUGCUUGACCAGAUGACUGUUAAAGAAAAAGUUCAUAGCCUCGCAAUUAAGAAGAAAGAUGGCGGCUGAUUUAUCACUAAUACUAUUCUGAUUUAUCACCACUACUGUGUUUAUUAGUGCUUAGAUUCAAAGUGUAAACUGUUAUAUUUAUAAUUUGUAUUCUGUCUAUUUUUUUAAAUUCAGAAUUCAAUAUUAAUGGA